AAGACUAUACUUCACAGGAUCAUUUCUGUAGUAAGUCUUCAUUAACUUUCGGGUUAAACCGAAAGAAUUUGCGCCCAUGAUGACGAGGAACGUCGUCCUACCUUUAGCGUGAGGCAGAUUGCGUGUUUUAUGUUUUUUACUUGGACACCAAUCAUCGAUGAUCGCUUUCAAACGGGGUAGGAUGAUUUCCGAGUGGU